UACGUAGGGGGCAAGCGUUAUCCGGAUUCAUUGGGCGUAAAGAGCGUGUAGGCGGCCAGGCAGGUCGGUUGUGAAAACUGGAGGCUCAACCUUCAGAGGUCGACCGAAACCAUCUGGCUAGAGUCCGGGAGAGGAGAGUGGAAUUCCUGGUGUAGCGGUGAAAUGCGCAGAUAUCAGGAAGAACACCCGUGGCGAAAGCGGCUCUCUGGAACAGUACUGACGCUGAGACGCGAAAGCGUGGGGAGCAAACAGG
rnacentral:rRNA from 1 species